rnacentral:rRNA from 1 species
AACGAACGCUGGCGGCAUGCCUAACACAUGCAAGUCGAACGAGACCUUCGGGUCUAGUGGCGCACGGGUGCGUAACGCGUGGGAACCUGCCCUUAGGUUCGGAAUAACUCCCCGAAAGGGGUGCUAAUACCGGAUAAUGUCUUCGGACCAAAGAUUUAUCGCCUUUGGAUGGGCCCGCGUUGUAUUAGCUUGUUGGUAGGGUAAAAGCCUACCAAGGCGACGAUCCAUAGCUGGUCUGAGAGGAUGAUCAGCCACACUGGGACUGAGACACGGCCGAGAAUACUACGGGAGGGAGGAGAGGGGAAUAUUGGACAAUGGGGGAAAGGCUGAUGAAGCAAGGACGGGUGAGUGAUGAAGGCCUUAGGGAUGAAAAGCACUUUUACCCGGGAUGAUAAUGACAGUACCGGGAGAAUAAGCUCCGGCUAACUCCGUG